AGGUGCUCCAAUUGAAUAUCUAUAGUUUCUGUUUCAUGAUUUGUUGGUUUGUUUGUGAAUAUUUGAAAUUUGGAAUGCUCUGACUGAGUUGAUAUUGUUGCUGAUUUUGAACCUAAACUUUGGCUUUUGUUGUUGCAUUUUCAUUUGAAUUUCUGGAUAUAUUAUAAUCAGUUCAUAUAUACAAAAUCCACCAAUAUCAUGGUUUUGCAGAUUGACGAAGAGCUUCUUCAGGAAGUGGUUAAUAUGGGAUUUGACAGAAAUCAAUUGGUUGAAUCUUUAUGCAACAGGACCCAAAAUGAGAUGGGGCUGGUGAUGAUUUGUUUAAAGAGCUAUGGAGGCUGUGUGCAGGGCCAUUAAUGGAUGUUCCUUGUGUUCAAGACAGAGUUUUCUAUUUCCCUCAGGGUCACAUUGAAUUGUUGCCAGAACCUACAGAACAAGAUUUGAGGCAGAUGAAGAACCAGAAAUCUCCCAAAUACGAUCUUCCGUCGAACAAGAUAUUUAA